rnacentral:rRNA from 1 species
UAGUUGGUGGGUAAUGGCCUACCAAGGCAACGAUCAGUAGCCGGCCUGAGAGGGUGAACGGCCACAUUGGGACUGAGACACGGCCCAAACUCCUACGGAAGGCAGCAG